rnacentral:lncRNA from 1 species
GAUGCUCCUUAAUUGGGGAGUGUAUGAGUUUGCGUAUAGAUCUAUACUGGAUUGACUAUCCUACACCUUGCUGCUCGCUACAGUGGGACUUGCAAGUCUACGGGUGCCAAAUGUCAUUUCUUACGGCGUCUUACAUCGUCGUUUUACUAUUGAGUCGGUAGCAGGGUACAUGCCGAUCACAUUGUACUUUAAAUAACAAUUGGUUUAGGGUAGUUAGUACAACAGUAGUUACUUAUACAACACUACAGANCACUACAGUACUAUAAUAUUUAUCCCAUUACAUUCACUUCGUGAACAUUCACACGAUGCACGGUAAUGUAAAAACUAUAUUUUUGGUUAAUGAUAGUCGGAUUUGGGAAAAUACACACUCUUACAAGACACACACACAGUUACUAGAUGCCUUGGUAGAAGGCUACUCUUAGUAGGAAACAUAGGGUUUUCUAGGAUAGUUCAAACAAACACAAACUUUACAAAACUUAUACAUUACAUCUUACAAACACUUUCAUAUAAACUAAGACACUAAUAUACUUAUGAUCUCACCAGCUUUAAAGCUGAUACUCGCUUUCAAAAUAACUUGUAUUCUCAUGUCACCACUAGACAGGUACAGGUGCCAGGCUUUUGAGAAGAUGGAGUUCGUUCAAGACUCAUCUUUUAUUUUGAUAUGCAUAUUUUUGGUGUCUAUAACUUUGACAGAACACACAUGUAUGAAAUUAUAUUAUUAAUGCAAUGGAUGAUGUUGUUGCUUGUUUACUACUAUUCAUUCUUAUGAUACUAUACAUGACGUCCUCCGCCCCAGAAUGUUUCCGCCAUUCAUGGUUUUGGGAUGUGACAGAUUGGUAUUAGAGCAUUGUUUAUAGUGAAUUGAGUGUAUCAACCUAUAAAAGAUAUAUGAACUAUAAACACAAGCGGGAUUAAAAUACUCUGAUUAAGAGUUUAUACUUUAAAUAAUAAAAUAUUUAACCAAGUAUACAUACCUGCAUUCAUACUAAAAUCAAUGUCACUAAGACAGUACAAAAGUAUUACGAUUGUUGGGCAACACAAGUAGACUUAGAGACAUAUGGUCAACCCUGGGAAGAUGUAGCCUGAUCAACUACAUUAUCCGAGGAGUGACUAGCAUGUGCCUAAGGAUGGUUGUGAGGUUGCAACAAGUCUAAAAACUUACCAACACUACCACAAUAAGAACAGUAGAACAUAACAUUAAACUUAAAAUACUAUAGGAGUAUUCGGUGUUACUAUGAUGGUUUACCUGAGAACUAAAGGUCUUUAUUAGUAAGCCCAAGUCAAGUAUUGGAGUAACUGAUAGAGAUCACCUUAUAAUUAUCUAGUUAGCUCAUCUAUUAAGUAUUUCCUUACCCCUUUUCUCGCAUCGAUAUCAUGGCUGGAUUUCAUCAUCAUGACGACCCGUACUUUCCACCCGACGACAAUGCUGGAUGGCUUGAAGCAGAGUCUGAUGAUGAACAUCAAAUCCCUUUGGAUGAUCAUCAAGCUGAAGGCUUCUCAGAUGGAUCUAACUCCGAGCCCGAAGUCAACAACCUACCUCAAGUAGGUCAAGCUCCGAAUAACAACCCCCGACCCACAUUUCAAGGACCCACACCUUUGUGGGCAACAAACUUGAAUAAUUGGAGCCAUAAACAGGGUCAACCCAUCCCCUACAAUGGAGACAUAAGUUUCUACAACCUCACUGAUGGAGGUUCUGCUGACAGAGUCCUACCCAUCAUGGUUAGUAGGAUGUCUCGGAACAUGAUAUUGGGUCAAUCGUCUAUCAAUCGAACUUGGAGAUUGAUGCCAACACAGGUGUUAACACUGUCUACAUUCGCCAGCUAGAGUCUGCUCAUGAAAGGACUCUGGUCCACAAUGCAGCUCUUUAGAGGGAACUCACUGAAACACGAGCUGAAGUCAGAGAACUUCGAGCUCAGCAAGCAAGAGAUGACAGGCACAUGAGGGACAUAGAACAUCUCCUAUCGGGAUCAAGAACUCACUCUGGUAGUUCUCGUCACCGAUAGAUUCUCAUCAACUUCUCUCUUUUGGAUAUAAACUAGUUAUGUAAAACUCUGGUCUAAUUCCCUAUCGUUGUAAAUGGUAGGCCUGUUAAGUCUUAGUUGGGUUGUAAUUCUGUCAAAAUUUUCCCAUUUUGGUUGAUGUAAGGCCUAUUUCUGUUGGCCGUUUUUCCCGAACUUAUUACAUCUGUAAUUCCAGUAAUAUUGACAGGUACCAAAUCUUAUGGGGAUUAUUAUCCAAAUGUGAUCAUCUAUUAGUUCUAGAUUUCCAUUCAAUCGUAUCGCUGGGCUAUGGAGAGUUAGUCCAUGAGUCAUUCUCAUCAAUUCGUCCAUUAAAUUCUUAUCAAUGUUUCAUCUUCAUAAACUAUAGAUCAAAGAUGCCGCCUCGCAGAAAUCCUCGGAGAAACCUCAAUAAUGAAACACCACCUCCUCCACCUCCUCAACCACGCACUCCUCAGUUCGACACUGCAGCCUUAAAUGUUGCUGUAGCUGCAGCUGUGGCCACAACCAUGGCUCAGUAUCAAUCAUCUGGUUCCGUUGGAGGAGGAACCCCUGUUCAGUCUGUUCAGGUUGAAGCUCCUGUGCGUUCUAGAGAGUGCUCUUAUAAGGACUUCACGAACUGUAAGCCCUUGUCCUUUAAGGGGACUGGCGGAAUCAUUGCCCUCUCACAAUGGUUCGAGAAAACCGAAUCGGUUUUCAAAAUCUGUUGUUGUUCCGAAGAGAGCAAGGUGAAUUACGCUGCUUGCACCUUUGAAACCAAAGCCCUAACACGGUGGAACAGCCAUGUUAAGUCACUAUCUCUUACAGUGGCUAAUGCUAUGGGCUGGGAUACUUUGAAAGACCUCAUGAUUGAGGAGUACUGUCCAAGGGGCGAGAUCCAAAAGCUGGAUGAAGAGCUAUGGAGCCUAACCAUGAAGGGCUCCAACGUAACCGCUUAUACCGCCUGAUUCUGCGAACUAGUGGCUCUCUAUCCCAACAUGGUUCAUACAGAGGGAAAGAAGAUUGAGCGUUACAUAUGGGGACUGGUUCCACCGUACCAGGGAAAUGUCUUGGCAUCACACCCCACUACAUUUCAUAGUGCCAAGCGAUUGGCACAGCGGCUCAUAAACCAUAGGGUUCGUACCCCGGCCGCAACAACAACUACCCUGGCUGUAACAGCCCGGAAUUCCAAAUAUUGAUAUAAUUAUGAUUUUGGGGUGUUUUAAGAGGGGACUCGGCGAGUUGGAGCCUAGACUCGCCGAGUAGGAUCGCAGACCGGGUCGCGGGUUCGCGACUGGACUCGACGAGUCCAGAUAUGGACUCGGCGAGUCUGCGCUGUUUAGCGAAAACCCUAACCGUUCAGGUUUGGGACGUAUAAGAGGCACUUAUUGGCCGUCAUUGUUCAUUUUAGCCUUCUGAGAAGAACCCUAAAUCGAUUGGGUGCAUCUGGAGCAAAGUUUAAGGGCCAUUGUUGAUCUUGGAAGAGUUGUUGUGCAAGGAAGAGAAAGGCUUGGCUAAAGGAACAGCAAAGGAGUCACGUCCUGAGGAUUUGGGGACACAGAGGGCACAUUAUUCAGGUAAGAAUUCGAGUUAUGCUCUGCUAUGUUGAUGUGUUUAUGGAAUUAGGGUUUGUGGAACCCUUUUGUGAUUAGAUUGAAUGCUACCCUAGUCCCCCAAACGAUUGUAACUCUGUAUUGGGACCUUUGGAGGUCCAGAAUGUCCCAUGCCUGUGCAUUUCGGGAAUUGAUGAAGGUUUUGGAUUGGAAUCCUUAUGCCUUAGGUCAAUAUGUAGGUUAUGAAUCAUGGGGUGUAUCAUGAGCACGAAAAUGAGGACCUUACGUGAUGGACCAGUCUAGGAAGGCCAGGCCUAUGAAUGGUCGGAGCAGUUCUGCCAUUAGAAAGCAGUUUGAGCGGUUGCAUGGCAUGGACUCGCCGAGUCCGAUGAACAGACUCGGCGAGUAGCUUGAAGAUUAACUGGGACUCGUCGAGUUGUUCUUCAGACUCGGCGAGUUGAGUCGGGGUGGCCCCGCGAUUCUUCCAGGAGGAACUCGUCGAGUAAAAAGGGGAUACUCGACGUGUAGAAAGGGAAUCUUAAGGAAUCGGUGAGUUAAGGGCGAGUGGACUCAGAGUCGUUGAACUCGGCGAGUCUUGGGGUGACUCGGCGAGUUAGAUCGCGGGUUGAGUGAAGUUCUGAGUAUGGGGACUCGGCGAGUCAUAGGGUUGACUCGGCGAGUAGGGUCAGUCAGGGGUUGACUUUGACCUUGUCUUUGACCAAGGAUUGACCAGUGGUUCCAGGGGUAUUUUGGUAAUUGUUGUUUAUUGUUUGAGUUCAGUGCAUUGGUGACUGUCCAGAGGUGGAGAUCGUAUCAGUGAUCGGAGCAGCUUGAGCUAUCUGUUCAGUCGGCAGUUUCGAGGUGAGUUAUCCUCACUAUAUCGCUAGGGUUUAUGGCACCAAGGCCGACCCUUUUUACCGGAUGGAAAUCCGGGUAGUUGUCAUUAUAUGUUACAGGCCGGAAGGCAUUACUAUGUGGACCGGAAGGUCAUGGCCUGGAAAGGCGUAUGUAUGCAUUUAGUAUGUUGACUGAUUCAUAGGGUAAUGUUAUGAUAGUGACCGGCUAGACCGGUAUCUUGUUAGAGUAAUGCUAUGAUAUGUGAUCUGUUGAUCGAUUGUUGUCUAUGAACUGCUAUAUGAUUAUUUGUUAUGUUAUAUAUGCAUUUUAUGCUUAUGGGCCGGAAGGCAAUAUGUUAUGGGCCGGAAGGCGAUAUGUUAUGGGCCGGAAGGCAAUAUGUUGUGUGAUGGACCGGAAGGUCGGCGUGGGUAGGACCGGAAGGUUUACCCAGCAGGGACGGAAGUCCCCUGAGACACAUGGACCGGAAGGUCAGGGCCUGGAAAGGCGUAUAUGUGGUUGGUAUUCUGGGGGUAUCUCACUAAGCUUUCGGGCUUACAGUUGUGGUUUUAUGUUUCAGGUUCUCAAGAGUCUGUGGCAAGGCAAAGGCGUGAUCGUACCGUUCCUCGCGUUGGUGUUUUAUGAUAUGAACCUGGGAAAUUACUCUGUUUAAUAAUGUAUUGAAAACCUUUUUGUAACAACGUUAAUAAAAUGGGUGAUUUUGAAAAGUUUUAAUUGUUUUGAAAUUUUGGAUGUUACAAGUUGGUAUCAGAGCCUUGGUUUGAGUGAAUUGGGGAAACAUUCGUGUGACUCCAGUCUCAAAUCGAGGAGGAUUUUAAAAAGAGAAAUUAAAAUGAGAAAUUAAAAUGGUUUUCAAAUUUAGUAAAAGGAGGACGCGGAGGUACGAUCAGCCGGAGCCAGUAAGUAACCCCAAGAUACCAUACAUGAUAUUUGUUUAUUUGAGCUUGAUAGCACAGCAUGCUAGAGUUAGGCUAGGGAUCUUCAGGAAUUCAUGAUAAUGUUGCCUGAUAUGUGAUGCCUGUAGCCUAGGGUCCCUUAUGGGAUGUUCUCAGUGUUCCUCUAGUGGUGAGGGUUGAUAGUUGUUAUGCAUGUUCCCUAGGGUAUUGUGGUAGUACUUCAUACAAAUAUGGGUAGGUGUGGAAGGUAGUAUGGGCCCGUACUACUGAAAGCACAGGACCCAUACGCGUAUCAGGGAAACCAUGGUCUCUAGGGUAGGGUUGCGAGAGUUGGAUCCCAGGAUUUUGGGAAGUGUCUGAGAUUGGUAGGGUGUCUUCAGUAUGGAGAUUUCGAGGCAUGAUGAUAGUGGAUCCGGAUCAGGAUCGGGAGCUGGAGAGCGAGUUCCGGGUGGAUCGGUGCCGUCGGAGGUUAUCGAUCGGACGAGCACGAGCGAGCGGGAUGCGAGGAUUCGCGAGAUCCUGCGUGAUGAGGUUGCUGCAUUGUUACGGGCUGAGUUGCCGGAAUUGUUUGGGUCGAUCAGGACCGCCAUGGUUGAGUAGUUUGAUGAGCGAUAUGCGGCUCUCGCAGAGACGGCUGCCGCGGCGGUUACAGCGGCUGUAGCAACGGCAAAGGGAAGACCUAGUCGGGGUUUCAGUAUCGGGACUUCUAUUAUACGAAGCCUCCCACAUUCGAUGGAGUUCAGGACCCGAUUGUUGCUAUGAGAUGGUUAUCAGACGUGGAGGGGUGUUUCUCCACGAGUUUAUGCCCUGCUGAUCAGAGGGUGAGGUGUGCUCUGAACCUAUUGAGGCUAGGAGCGAAGGAUUGGUGGAGAUUGACCACGAGGUCAUUUUCCGAUGCGCAGAGGGCUGCGGUUUCAUGGGAUCAAUUCAGAGAGAUGUUCAGUACUCGCUAUGUUCCGCGGGAUGAAAAGGAGAGAUUGGCUCGGGAAUUCUUUGAGCUGAAGCAGGAUUUGGAGUCGGUGACUGAGAUCACCAGGAUGUUUAUUGGGAGGGCGAUGUUUUGCCCUGAGUUCGCUUCGGAGCAGGCUCAGAUGUCCCGAUAUCUGAGUAUGCUCAAGGGGGAUAUCAGACAGUUCGUGUCUGCGCAGAGGUGCGAGACCUUGUUGGAGUUGCAGGAGGCCGCCAUGCGGCGUGAGUUAGAGGUUGAGUUGCAGUUGCGUGAGCUGAGGCAGGCUCCGAUGCAGUCGCAGCCGGCGCCGAAACGGUCCAGGACCGUUGAUGUUAGAGUGGGGGAUCUGAGCGGCCACACUUGUGGGAAGUGUGGGAGGGGUCACACCGGAGUUUGUUGGUCCGGUGGUGCAUGCCGCAAGUGCGGAAAGGAGGGGCACUAUGCGCGGGAUUGUCGGCAGUCAGUGCCGAUUCGGGAUUUGAGGAUUUGUUAUCAUUGUCGGCAGGUUGGACAUUUGAGGGUCAACUGUCCACAGCUUUCUGCAGGACCGGUGCAGGCUCUAGCACCGGCCACCUUGAGGAGUUCAGGAGGAGGACAGGAUGGAGCGGAGCCCCAAGGGCUCAGGGUCGUGCUUAUCGGCUUGCGGCAGAGGGAGACGGAGCAGUGCCGGAGGCAGCUGCGGGUAUGAUGCUUUCUUGAUGUCUUGAUUAUCUUGCGUUGAUUGUGGCGUAUUGUUUGUGCUGGUAUCUUGUGUGGAUUUCGAUGCGGUAUUCGUUGUUUCGCGGGUUUGGCAUGGUUAUGGAUUGGUGUUUCAGGUUUUCGCUUUGGCAUUCGUUGUUCCCUGAUGGUUUGGUAUGGUUAUAGUUUGGUGUUUUGGUGCCGGUAGCCUUGUGCGGUUUUCGAUGCGGUAUUCAUCCUUUUGCAGGUUGUGGGUUUGGUUACGGGUUAUUGUUUGGGAAUUCCGUUGGUUAUCGUUCGUGAGGGUUGAUAGUGGAGAUGCGGCACUGGGUUGAAUGUCGGGUAGCAUCUGCAGUCGUGGAGUGGAUAAUUGAAAGACCGGAUUCUUUUGAGCGGAUUGAUCAGGGAGGAGAUGUGUUUUGCUGAGGGUUGCUUAUGCUUGUGGGAAGCAGUCAGUGUGUAAAUGUUCUCUUUGUGCAGGAUUGUUCUGAAAGGUCGUUAAUGACGAUCGGUGGCAGUUAGUCAGUGCUUUAGUGGGGGAGAAUUGGAGAAUUCUCCGGGAGAUCGAUGAGUAUGUGAGGGUGCUUAGCUGUUGGGAUUCAGCAGUGUUUGUCAGCGCAGAGUAUAGGCCGACGAGAGCGAGUGUCGGGUAUGCGGGGCGGGAUACAGACCUAGGGCAUUUGAUUGUGGAGGCCUGAGAGAAGGCCGGGAUCAAGCUUGAGUAAGUAACCGGGGUUAUGCGAUCAGAGUAUUGGUAUGUUUGAGGUACGUGAUGGGUUGUACUGCAUUAAUCCCACGGGAUUAUGUUGUGCAUGUUUCUAGAGCUGGAACCGGAAGGUUCCCAGAGUUAGAACCUGAGGGUUCGCAGAGUUUGGGUGUACGGACCCACAGAGAUAUAGCCUCGAGUGGCUAGUAUGUGUUAUGAGAGUCGGUCCAGUCAUGCUGGAGACUCUGUUGGUAUUGCUGGAUCAGUUUGAGAUUGCGGAUCGUGUAUGUUGCAGUGUGAUUGCAUUGGAAGGUCUGGCCCCGGGUUAGUGAUCUUGUUUAGCUGAGGCAGUGAUUUUGAUGAGUGGAGAGAGUGCAUGGGAUUGAGAGCCCCUGCAAUGAGAACCAGAGUAUGUGAAUAGCGGUUACGCAAAAAGGGUGGUGUCGCUUGGGGCAAGCACCGUAGCACCGGUUGGAGUGGCAUUAUGGCCAAGAGGGUCCCUUGGAAGGAAAAGAGAAAGGUGUGUAACUCCGAAGGGGAGUGCAAGUUCACGAGAAUGAAAGCUGCAGAGCAGAGUUAUGGUUAGAGUAUUUCGAGUAUGCCUUCGAGCAUCGUGUUCGCGGCAGCGAAGUAGGAACCCAUCCGGUUUGGGAUGUCUGUUGAGGCUCAGAAGGGAUGCAGGGAGAGAGAGAAUCUUAAAUUCUCAGUGUGAUUCUGAUCAGAGUGUAGGGUGGAUGUAGUGGUUCAUCUUGGGAGAUGUUCGAGGAUAUCAUCAGUGUAUCGGGUCUUUCAACCUGCGGGUGUUGGGACUAGUUCAGUAUGUGUAUGUGAUGGCAAGAGGAGAACUUGUGAGAGUUGCUCUGAGAGUGAGAAUGGAUCUCUCAGUCGGUCCGGAAUGGACAAAGUGGGCUUUGGAUCGGGGAUCCGGUGGUUCAUGGUUUCCUAACCCUUAUGGGUCGAGUGAUCGUUGAGAUUUAGAGCAGAGUUGCAUCUUGGGUAAUUUUCGGUUACAGAGAGUGAUGUGCAGUACAGAGAUCGUGCUUCAGUCGACAGAGCAGAUUCGACAGAGCCGACAGGGAAAGUUAUGCAGACAGACGCCGGUCCGAGCUUGAGUUUCAGGUCGGCAACCUCGUACUCCUGAAGGCCUCUCCUUGGAAAGGAGUGAUUCGCUUCAGGAAGAGAGGCAAGUUGGGGCCCCGGUACAUUGGGCCAUUUCGGGUGAUUGCAAGGAUAGGCCGGGUAGCCUAUCGAUUGGAGUUGCCAGCGGAGUUGGGACAGAUCCACGACACCUUUCAUGUGUCGCAAUUGAGGAAGUGCUUAGCCGAUGAGUCGGCAGUGGUUCCAUUAGAGGAUAUUCAGGUGGAUGCGAGCCUGAAUUAUGCUGAGAGACCAGUGGCCAUCAGGGAUCGAAAGAUCAAGGUUCUGAGGAACAAGGAGGUACCUCUGGUAUUGGUUCAGUGGCAACAUCGGAAGGGAUCGGAAAUGACUUGGGAGCCGGAACGUGAGAUGCGGGAGCAGCAUCCGGAACUAUUUUCAGAGUGAGACUUCGAGGGCGAAGUCUAAUCCUAGUGGGGGAGAAUUGUAACAGCCCGGAAUUUCAAGUAUUGUAAUAAUUAUGUUUCUGGGGUGUUUUAAGAGGGGACUCGGCGAGUUGGAGCCUAGACUCGCCGAGUAGGAUCGCAGACUUGGUCGCGGGUUCGCGACUGGACUCGACGAGUCCAGAUAUGGACUCGGCGAGUCUACGCUGUUUAGCGAAAACCCUAACCGUUCAGGUUUGGGACGUAUAAAAAGGACUCAUUGGCCGUCAUUGUUCAUUUUAGCCUUCUGAGAAGAACCCUAAAUCGAUUGUGUGCAUCUGGAGCAAGGAUUAUAGGCCAUUGUUGAUUAUAGAAGAGUGGUUGUGCAAGGAAGAGAAGGGAUUGGCUAAAGGAGCAGCAAGGGAGUCACAUUCUGAGGAUUGGGGACACAGAGAAUACAUCAUCCAGGUAAGAAUUCGAGUAUACUCUGCUAUGUUGAUGUGUUUAUGGAAUUAGGGUUUGUGGAACCCUUUUGUGAUUAGAUUGAAUGCUACCCUAGUCCCCCAAACGAUUGUGACUCUGUAUUGGGACCUUUGGAGGUCCAGAAUGUCCCAUGCCUGUACAUUUCGGGAAUUGAUGAAGGUUUUGGAUUGGAAUCCUUAUGCCUUAGGUCAAUAUGUAUGUUAUGAAUCAUGGGGUGUAUCAUGAGCACCAAAAUGAGGACCUUACGUGAUGGACCAGUCUAGGAAGGCCAGGCCUAUGAAUGGUCGGAGCAGUUCUGCCAUUAGAAAGCAGUUUGAGCGGUUGCAUGGCAUGGACUCGCCGAGUCCGAUGAACAGACUCGGCGAGUAGCUUGAAGAUUUACUGGGACUCGUCGAGUUGUUCUUCAGACUCGGCGAGUUGAGUCGGGGUGGCCCCGCGAUUCUUCCAGGAGGAACUCGUCGAGUAAAAAGGGGAUACUCGACGUGUAGAAAGGGUGUCUUAAGGAAUCGGUGAGUUAAGGGCGAGUGGACUCAGAGUCGUUGAACUCGGCGAGUCUUGGGGUGACUCGGCGAGUUAGAUCGCGGGUUGAGUGAAGUUCUGAGUAUGGGGACUCGGCGAGUCAUAGGGUUGACUCGGCGAGUAGGGUCAGUCAGGGGUUGACUUUGACCUUGUCUUUGACCAAGGAUUUACCAGUGGUUCCAGGGGUAUUUUGGUAAUUGUUGUUAUUGUUUGAGUUCAGUGCAUUGGUGACUGUCCAGAGGUGGAGAUCGUAUCAGUGAUCGGAGCAGCUUGAGCUAUCUGUUCAGUCGGCAGUUUCGAGGUGAGUUAUCCUCACUAUAUCGCUAGGGUUUAUGGCACCAAGGCCGACCCUUUUUACCGGAUGGAAAUCCGGGUAGUUGUCAUUAUAUGUUACAGGCCGGAAGGCAUUACUAUGUGGACCGGAAGGUCAUGGCCUGGAAAGGCGUAUGUAUGCAUUUAGUAUGUUGACUGAUUCAUAGGGUAAUGUUAUGAUAGUGACCGGCUAGACCGGUAUCUUGUUAGAGUAAUGCUAUGAUAUGUGAUCUGUUGAUCGAUUGUUGUCUAUGAACUGCUAUAUGAUUGUUUGUUAUGUUAUAUAUGCAUUUUAUGCUUAUGGGCCGGAAGGCAAUAUGUUAUGGGCCGGAAGGCGAUAUGUUAUGGGCCGGAAGGCAAUAUGUUAUGGGCCGGAAGGCGAUUAUGUUGUGUGAUGGACCGGAAGGUCGGCGUGGGUAGGACCGGAAGGUUUACCCAGCAGGGACGGAAGUCCCCUGAGACACAUGGACCGGAAGGUCAGGGCCCGGGAAGGCGUAUAUGUGGUUGGUAUUCUGGGGGUAUCUCACUAAGCUUUCGGGCUUACAGUUGUGGUUUUAUGUUUCAGGUUCUCAAGAGUCUGUGGCAAGGCAAAGGCGUGAUCGUACUGUUCCUCGCGUUGGUGUUUUAUGAUAUGAACCUGGGAAAUUACUCUGUUAAAUAAUGUAUUGAAAACCUUUUUGUAACAACGUUGAUAAAAUGGGUGAUUUUGAAAAGUUUUAAUUGUUUGGAAAUUUUGGAUGUUACACUGGCCGUCUCAGAACCUGCAAGAACCGCUGACUCCAAGAGGAAGUUCUGGGAUGACAAGAAGAAAGCUUAGGCUGCCAAAAAGCAGCAGGUCGUGGCAGUACAUGCUGCGAUAGCACCUGCCGCUGCUGCUCCGGUAAAGCAGUAUUAUGGAAGUUUGCCCAAGUGCAACAAAUGCAACUUCUAUCACGUCGGCGCCUGCCGGGAAAUGCAGUGUAUGAACUGCAACAGGAAGGGGCACACUGUCCGUUUCUAUAAAGCUCCGGCGAAACCAAUCAACCAAGUCUCCGGUGCAGGAGUGGGCCAAGCUUGCUACGGCUGUGGCGAAGUAGGCCACUACAAAAGGAAUUGCCCGAAGGCAGGGAUUGCCGGUGGAGCGGCAAGAGUUCUGGCCAUAGGCCAUAAGGAAGUGGUUGCUGACCCCACAGUGGUCACUGGUACGUUCCUCCUAGAUAACGCUUAUGCAUGCAUUCUAUUUGAUAGUGGAGUGGAGAGGAGUUUCGUGAACCGAAAAUUUGCUCAUUGACUUAAGCAAAAAUCACGAGCACUUAAUGAAACGUUCACUGUAGAAAUGGCUAAUGGGAAGACAGAGAGCGCUAACUGUAUAUUCAUAGGGUGUACCCUAACUUUAGAUAACCAUUCAUUUUCUAUCGAUCUCAUGCCAGUCUCAAUUAAAAGUUUCGACGUCAUUAUUAGCAUGGAUUGAUUGAGUCGUCAUCGUGCCGAUAUCAUGUGUGACGAAAAGGUUGUUCGCCUAAAUCUACCGUCUGGCGAAACCUUAAUAGUGUAUGGCGACAAACCCGGCACGAACCUUCGUAUCAUCUCGAGCAUCCAAGCUCGGAAAUUCUUACGAAAGGAAUGUACAACAUUCCUUGCUCAUGUAGUCGAUGUGAGCCAAGAAGCGAAAGACAUUCAGAACAUUCCGGUAGUACGCGACUUUCCCGACAUCUUUCCAGAAGAACUCCCAGGAUUACCUCCGCAACGUCAAGUCGAGUUCCGAAUCGACUUAGUUCCAGGGGCUACCCCCGUAGCCAAAUCACCCUAUCAUCUAGCACCUGCAAAGAUGCAAGAAUUGUCCUAUCAACUUAACGAACUGCUUUGCAAGGGCUUCAAGAGACCAAGCUUCUCACCCUGGGGAGCUCCAGCCUUGUUCGUCAAGAAGAAAGACGGAUCGUUUCGUAUGUGCAUCUACUACAGGGAGCUCAACAAGCUGACAGUCAAAAAUCGUUAUCCUUUGCCUCGGAUUGACGAUUUGUUUGACCAACUCCAAGGGGCGAACUUCUUUUCAAAAAUCGACUUGAGAUCCGGAUAUCACCAACUACGAGUGCUAGGGGAGGAUGUUCCAAAGGCAGCCUUCCGAACUCGUUAUGGGCACUACGAAUUCGUAGUGAUGCCGUUCGGAUUGACAAACUCACCAGCUGUAUUCAUGGACUUAAUGAACAGGGUGUGUCAUCCUUACUUGGAUUAGUUCGUCAUCGUCUUCAUCGAUGACAUACUUAUCUACUCUCGAAGUAAGGAGGAGCAUAGUCAACAUCUGCGACAAGUCCUCGAAACUUUACGUUCGGAGAAGCUCUACGCGAAGUUCUCGAAAUGCAAAUUUUGGAUUUGAUGAGUCGAAUUCUUAGGGCACGUGGUUAGCGAAGAAGGUAUACACGUGGACCCUUCCAAAAUCAAGGCCAUUGAGAACUGGUCAGCACCGAAGACGCCUACGGAAAUUCGUUAAUUUCUAGGCCUUGCUGGCUACUAUCGUAGGUUCAUUAAGAACUUCUCCCACAUAGCGAAACCUCUUACAACACUGACCCAGAAGGGCGUGGCCUUUGACUGGGAAGAGAAGCAAGAGAGAGCGUUCCAAACGCUCAAACGAGCCUUGUGCACCGCGCCAAUACUAUCCCUUCCCGAAGGAAUAGAAGACUUCAUUGUCUAUUGCGAUGCGUCGAAUCAAGGACUCGGAUGUGUUCUAAUGCAGCGAGGUAAUGGCAUCACCUAUGCCUCGAGACAACUGAAGACACAUGAGGUCAACUACACGACCCACGAUCUUGAACUAGGAGCAGUUGUGUUUGCUCUGAAGAUCUGGAGACAUUACUUGUACGGAACGAAAAUCACUAUAUUUACAGACCACAAGAGCUUACAACACAUAUUCGACCAGAAGGAGCUCAACAUGAGACAACGACGGUGGGUCAAGCUACUCAGUGAUUACGAAUGAUAAAUUCUUUAUCAUCCGGGUAAAGCCAACGUAGUAGCUGAUGCCCUGAUUCGGAAGGAAUAUUUUGGUCGUAGAGUCAAAUCAUUGACUAUGACUAUCCAUUCACACUUGUCCACAUAAAUUAAGGCAGCUCAGCUUGACGCUUUGAAGCCUGAAAAUGUGGCGGGUGAAUCCCUAAGAGGGAUGGAUAAGAACUUAGAGGUUAAGGGUGGUAGAGCUUAUUAUUUCAUGGACCGGAUCUAGACCCCGAAACUAGGUGGUUUUAGAGACUUGGUCAUGAACGAGGCGCACAACACUCGUUAUUUCGUGCACCCGGGAUCAGAUAAGAUGUAUCUGGACCUCAAAAAGUUAUACUGGUGGCCUAACAUAAAAGCAGAGUUUGCUACCUUCGUGAGUACAUGCCUUACUUGCGCAAAGGUCAAGGUCGAAUACCAGAAACCCUCCGGUCUACUACAACAGCCGGAGAUACCAGAAUGGAAGUGGGAACGGAUAACUAUGGAUUUCAUAACCAAGUUACCCAAGAUGACGGGUGGACUUGAUUCCAUAUGGGUCAUUGUCGAUAGAAUGACCAAGUCUGCACACUUCCUGUCGAUCAAAGAAACAGACAAGAUGGAGAAACUUACAAGAACUUACAUUAGGGAGAUUUUAAGACUGCAUGGUGUUCCCUUAUCCAUUAUCUCGGAUAGAGAUAGUAGAUUCACUUCGAGGUUCUGGCACUCAUUAUAAAGUCCCCUAGGAACUAGGCUGGACAUGAGUACAACCUACCAUCCGCAGACCGACGGGCAAAGUGAGAGAACUAUCCAAACCGUGGAAGAUAUGUUGCGAGCCUGUGUGAUAGACUUCGGGAAAGCUUGGGAUACUCAUUUACCCCUUGUCAAAUUUUCCUACAACAACAGUUAUCACACGAGCAUAAAGGCUGCUCCAUUCGAGGCCCUCAAUGGCCGAAAGUGCAGAUCCCCUCUGUGCUAGGCUGAGGUGGGUGAUACCCAGUUAGCUAAAGGAUGAAUUCCUAAAAGCACUCUAACAGGUCCGAAAAUCAUACGGGAAACGACGGAGAAGAUCGUUCAGAUCCGGGAACGAUUGAAAGCCUCCAGAGACCGACAGAAAAGCUACGCUGAUAAAUGUAGGAAACCGUUGGAAUUCUAGGUGGGUGACUGUUUUCUAUUAAAGGUCUCACCCUAGAAGGGCUUGAUAUGCUUCGGAAAGCGUGGAAAGCUAAAUCCAAGGUACAUAGGGCCUUUCGAGAUUCUCGCAAGAAUCCGUCCUGUAGCUUACAAACUUAACUUACCGCGCGAACUCAGUAACAUACAUUCUACCUUCCACGUAUCGAACUUGAAAAAGUGUCUGUCCGACGAGACUCUUUUUAUUCCACUCGACGAGAUCGAAAUCAACGAGAGCCUUAACUUCGUGGAGGAACCAAUAGAGAUCAUGGACCGAGAGGUCAAGCAAACGAAACAAAGCCAUAUCUUGAUUGUGAAGGUUCGCUGGAACGCCAAGCGAGGACUGAAAUCACUUGGAAGCGUGAGGAUCAGAUGAAACUGAAAUAUCCUCAUCUUUUUGCUUAGUUGUUUGUAACUACUUUAUUUGUUUAGACUUUAAUUUUGGGAUGAAAUUCCCUUUAAUAGGGGGAUGAUGUGACAACCUAAAAUUUUCAUUCAGUCAAACCCUAAAAGUCAAUCACUUCAUAUUAUAAGUCAAGUUCACUUUUACUUGUUUUUAGGAAAAAUAAGUUCAUUUGAUUAUUUUAAUAAUUAAUAUUUAAACGAACGGGUGAAUGGUUGUGCCGUCUCGGGUCGCAAAUUUUCUAAACUGCGAAUACCACGUAGCUUAGAAGUUCACGGCCAAACUUUUAUGUUUGGGCCGUAAACUACCCCCAAAAACGUAAACUCAUGCCUUAAGCAUGAGCAUACUCCCCAAAGUGCAUCACUUUUCACUUUCACCCUAAAAGAGUAAACUCAAAACUCUCUCAAAUAUCAUCCCGAUUUUCGCCCGAUUUCUCAAUAAUGUAAGUACUUCUUGUCUUAAUUAGUUGUUAUAUCACAACAUCUAGUGAUUAUACAUCCUUUAAUCCAUCAAAUUUCAUGUUUUGAUUAGAUUUCCAAAACACCAAGAACACACACUAAGUCUUCUUGGACUUUUAGCUCAUUUCAAGCUUCCUUAUAGUAAGUACUUCCAUCCUUGAGUCUUAUUAAGCUUGUAUUACAUUUUAGCAUCAAAGAAAAGUCCCAAUAACACCAAUAUCAAUGUGUUCACAAUUUUGGGAGGCUCCCAAAACCGUAAACACCAAAUAUGGUGCAAAGUGGUGCCUUAGGGUGCCUAGAUGCUUCACAAUGCCUUAGGGACUUGUCUAGAUUCAUCCUUGAUGAUUUUAUCACACAAAAAGUACCAAAACCUUACAUUUUUAUGUGUUUACGGUUUGGGAAUCUCCCAAAACCGUAAACACCCCAAAAGGUGUAUAAAAGCCCCAUAAAAGUCCCAUGGUUAUUCCUUAUGUCUAAAUCUAACCUAGACUAUUGCUAUGAAUUAGCUAAGGACUUGAAAACCCCCAAAUACCAUAAACUUAUGGGUUUAAGGUAGUAAACUCAUGAGUUUAAGGUAGUAAACUCAAAGGUAAAUGGUAAAGGGACCAUAAACUCCAUUUAUGAGUGAAAUGGUGCCCUAGAUCUUUCCAAAGGCCUAACCACCAAGUAGAAAUUCUUCAAAGGACUUGUAAAACCUCAAAACAACAUAUGGUCAUAAAAUUUAGAGUUUACAACCGUAAAACCUUGAGUUUACUGCCGUAAACUCCAAAGGAUUUUACCCUUGAACUCCAAACACUCUAGCUUUGCCCUACAAACACUUGGAUGCAACCCUUGUGAUCUUUAGUACUUGAAACAAAGUGUUUUCAUGUUCUAGAGUGUCCCAACUUAAUUUAUUAGUUAUAAAUUGGCUAAUUAGUUAUAUAUAUGUUCAUUAUAUGAUAACUAGGCUCGUGCGUGUGUACAAGUCUCCAUUCGUCACCUAGCACAAUAUCCAACACUUCAAUCCAAUCCACUCACUGCAAGUGAGUUCAUACCCCCUUUAACUAACCUUUGAAAUACUUUUAAAUGUUUUAAAUGCUUUUAUGGGGGGGGGGGAUACAAGUUGAAUACUUAUAGUUAUUACUUCAAUCACAUGUGAUUAAUAACUACAAAACCAGUGAUUUNAGUUGAAUACUGUUCAAACUAUUUAUCAAACUAUUUUGCUUCAAACUGUUUACAAACUCUUUUACUUAUCAAAUGCUUUUACUUAAACUCUGUUAUACUUAUUAUCAAUUGCAUGUCCAUGUAUGUAUAGUAAUAUAAGAAAUGUUCAAAAGGCCUAGGAAAGCCUGCCCGCCCUAUUUCCUUUUCGCGCUUGAGAUGUGGUCUGGUGGGAUAUCGGGUGUCCGUCCGAAGGUCAUUUAAAUAUUAGUUAUAUAUCAUGUGUACAUAUAUAGUCAUAAAAGGUCCUUCCAGUCAAUUCAAUACCCUUGGGUAGCAAGGGUAUACUUCCAUAUUCAUACGUACAAGUUAUAUUACUAGUAAACUACAAUAGGCGUAGUUUAGGGUUUUACUAAUACUAAUACAAGAACAAUGAAUCAUACAAAGAGUCAGUUCAUUCAUGAAUCAUAAUACAUAGUGAUGAGAAACAAACAUAAUACAUAGUGAUGAGAAACAAACAUAAUACAUAGUGAUGAGAAACAAACAUAAUACAUAGUGAUGAGAAACAAACAUAAUACAUAGUGAUGAGAAACAAACAUAAUACAUAGUGAUGAGAAACAAACAUAAUACAUAGUGAUGAGAAACAAACAUAAUACAUAGUGAUGAGAAACAAACAUAAUACAUAGUGAUGAGAAACAAACAUAAUACAUAGUGAUGAGAAACAAACAUAAUACAUAGUGAUGAGAAACAAACAUAAUACAUAGUGAUGAGAAACAAACAUAAUACAUAGUGAUGAGAAACAAACAUAAUACAUAGUGAUGAGAAACAAACAUAAUACAUAGUGAUGAGAAACAAACAUACAAGCUAGACAGAGGAAGAACACACAAUACAGCUAGCACAUACAUUACAUAUACAUUACAUUUAGUUAUGUGAGUCAUUAAACGGGUCAUGGCACUACCUGCCAUGACAAUUUUUGUAUCCAGAAUCUCCUUAAUUGGGGAGCGUAUGAGUUUGCGUAUAGAUCUAUACUGGAUUGACUAUCCUACACCUUGCUGCUCGCUACAGUGGGACUUGCAAGUCUACGGGUGCCAAAUGUCAUUUCUUACGACGUCUUACAUCGUCGUUUUACUAUUGAGUCGGUAGCAGGGUACAGGCCGAUCACAUUGUACUUUAAAUAACAAUUAGUUUAAGGUAGUUAGUACAACAGUAGUUACUUAAUACAACACUACAGAACUAUAAUAUUUAUCCCAUUACAUUCACUUCGUGAACAUUCA